CCCUAUGGGGUGCCGCAGGCUUAGCGUAUUUACUCACUGUUUUGAUAAAUCCCAAGUCGUUUCACUCCAUAAGUUAAUACAGGAAGGAGAAGGGUUGCCCAGACCCUUCCCCAACCCAACGACAACGGCCAUAUAUAAAGGAGGUGACGACGAGCGCUCGGGCGCUCGCAUGCUUAGUUUCAAUCGUGUCUAUAUUAAUUUCCGUUUCCAUCUAUUAUGAGGUUAUCGCAUCUCCGCUAAGUUGUCAAUCGAAAUCGACCGAUAACCUUAAAAUAUUUCUUAGCGAGAAAAGCUUGCUUUUCAGUUGCCUUAGAACCACAGAUCGCGCUUCGCGAGAGUGAGACUCAAGGAACUUAAUGGCCGCGCCGAUUUAAAGUAGAGUCAAUAUGUCUGGGCGGGAGGGC
rnacentral:rRNA from 1 species